CUUUUCUCCUCACGCUAGCGAGCAACUCCAGGAUGCUGGGAGUCCGGUGGCGGCUGGGCAUUUGGGAGGAGGGGGCUUGGAGCACAGCGACCAACUGUAUGACUGGCAGGAGUCUCCAGUGUGUUGGGAAGGAGGGGCCUUUGACCAAAGUUACCCAUCAGUCGAUAGCUGGUUGGGGUUUUUGGAGGAAUAUCCAGAACUUCUGAUUUAGCCACGUCUACUGUAUAUUUUA